AUUCAAUUAGUUCAAAGAGAUAAAGACAAUAGUGAUUUGCUAAUAUGUUACAGAUAAAAAGUAAAUUUAAAAUGUAUAUAUAUAUAUACACAUAUAUAUAUAUAUGCUGCUUUUAGCAGUGGGAUGCAGUGUUUUUCAUCUCCAAAUAGACCAUAACUUGAACCUUUAAUUCUAUCAAGAAAAACUGGUUACUUCUAAACAUCUCUAAUGACUAAUGCCUCUUUUCUUUUAUCCUCCCCUUUCUACCUCCAAAUUUGGUGCAUAUUAUGAUCUCAGGUACUCUCUAAAUAAAUGCAUGCUUAUCCAUGUACAUGUAUACAUGGGUACCUCUGGGUGAUUGGGAGAUGAUGGGUAAUUUUUAUUUUCUAUUUUGUGCUUUGACUUUUUUCAGUAUUCUGCAAUGGCUAUGGUUUGCUUUUAUAUUUGAAAUUACAAAUAUACUGAAUAUGCACGUUAAAAAGAAUGAAGCAAAUGGGAAAUCAGGUAGAUAAUUAAGAGUGAAGAGAAAAUCAACAAUAUCCAUUCAUUUAUCUAUAAUUUCAGCAUCUGCACUUUAUAGGCAUUAUGUUAAUCCAGAUAUUUUUAGUGUGCGUUCCUCCAUUUCCAUGCAUAUAUAUAGAAUAUUUUAUAUCAGCAUUGAGAUUAUAAGGUACAUACUGAUUUACAAAGUGCUUUUACCUAGUAAUAUGUCAUGACACAUUUACCCCUUUUACUAAAUAUUAUUUCUUAAAUGCCAAAGUCUCUCAUUUCAUUAAAAAGCACCAUCAUCUCAUAUAUAAGCAACAAAGACAUAUUGUACAGCACAGGUAAUUAUAGCCAUCUUCAUGUAAUAAUUCAUAAUAUAAUAUAAUCUGUAAAAAUCCUGAAUCAUGAUGCUUUAUAUCUGAAUGUAAUAUAAUCUUGUAAAUCAACUAUUUUUUUUUUUCUUUUUUUACUGCCACUCCUGUGGCAUAUUUAAGUUCCUGGGCCAGGGGUCAAAUUGGAGUUGCAGCUGCAGACCUACACCACAGCCACAGCAACACAGGAUCGAGCAACAUCUGAGACCUAUGCCACAGCAACACCAGAUACUUAACACACUGAGCAAAGCCAGGGAUUGAACCCUUAUCCUCACAGAGAUGACAUUUGGUCCUUAACCUCCCGAGCCACAACAAUAACUCCCAAAAAUUUUUUUUUUAUAAGAACAAUUUUAUUUUUAGAUGUGAAGUCAUUUCAAUAAUCAGAUCAAAUAUACAAUAUUAAAAAAGAAUUGCAAAAUCUACAUACAUUAUUCAUUGAAAUUGUGGAUAUAAGUAAUUAAUUAAGAAAAUAUUAUUAGGGAAUUCCUGUUGUGGUGCAGCGGUUAAUGAAUCCGACUAGGAACCAUGAGGUUGCAGGUUCUAUCCCUGCCCUUGCGCAGUGGGUUAACGAUCCUGCGUUGCUGUGAGCUGUGGUGUACAUUGCAGACGCAGCUCGGAUCCGUGUUGCUGUGGCUCUAGCGUAGGCUGGCAGCUACAGCUCCGAUUAGACCCCUAGGCUGGGAACUUCCAUAUGCUGCGGGAGUGGCCCAAGAAAUG
ensembl:lncRNA